rnacentral:misc_RNA from 1 species
UUUCCGUAGGUCGCUAGAGUUCAGCCUACCAAAGCAAACCUUUCAAAACUGCUAGUCUCUCCCCGAGGCGACACGCUCAAUGUUGCGGAGAGGCCCUCUUUUCAGAGGGUAAUCCGCAGCCGGCCCCCUAAAGGCUGGUUCAGAGACUCAAUGAGUGUGGGUUUGGCCUUUUGGCCAGGCUUAAGAUAGAGCCCGUCCCUGUAGGCAACUGCGGGGGAUGAACGGAACCUGCGGAAGGAUCAUUAAAGAAUCGGUGACCCUCGCGGUCCCAUUCUCACCCUUUGUAUACCAAACUUCAGUUGCUUUGGCUGGCCUUCGCGGGCCGGCCAGAGGACUCAAACCCUUGAAUCUUUGCUGUCUGAGCACUAUAUAAUAGUUAAAACUUUCAACAACGGAUCUCUUGGUUCUG